AGAUCGUUUUAGGGGAAAUUGUGAAGUAAUCCCUUGUAGCGCUCCCAUGCUUCAUAUAAUGACUCACCCAUUUGUUGUUCAAAAUUAGCUAUGGCCUUUUUGAGUUU